AACGAACGCUGGCGGCAUGCCUAACACAUGCAAGUCGAACGAGACCUUCGGGUCUAGUGGCGCACGGGUGCGUACCGCGUGGUAACCUGCCCUUAGGUUCGGAAUAACUCCCCGAAAGGGGUGCUAAUACCGGAUAAUGUCUUCGGACCAAAGAUUUAUCGCCUUUGGCUGGGCCCGCGUUGGAUUAGCUAGUUGGUAGGGUAAAAGCCUACCACGGCGACGAUCCAUAGCUGGUCUGAGAGGAUGAUCAUCCACACCGGGACUGGGACACGGCCCAGACUCCUACGGGAGGCAGCAGUGGGGAAUAUUGGACAAUGGGCUAAAGCCUGAUCCAGCAAGGCCGCGUGAGUGAUGAAGGCCUUAGGGUUGUAAAGCUCUUUUACCCGGGAUGAUAAUGACAGUACCGGGAGAAUAAGCUCCGGCUAACUCCGUG
rnacentral:rRNA from 1 species